GAUGAACGCUGGCGGCGUGCCUAAUACAUGCAAGUCGAGCGAACGGACGAGAAGCUUGCUUUUCUGAUGUUAGCGGCGGACGGGUGAGUAACACGUGGAUAACCUACCUAUAAGACUGGGAUAACUUCGGGAAACCGGAGCUAAUACCGGAUAAUAUUUUGAACCGCAUGGUUCAAAAGUGAAAGACGGUCUUGCUGUCACUUAUAGAUGGAUCCGCGCUGCAUUAGCUAGUUGGUAAGGUAACGGCUUACCAAGGCAACGAUGCAUAGCCGACCUGAGAGGGUGAUCGGCCACACUGGAACGGAGACCCGGCCCAGACUCCUACGGGAGGCAGCAGGAGGGAAUCUUCCGCAAUGGGCGAAAGCCUGACGGAGCAACGCCGCGUGAGUGAUGAAGGUCUUCGGAUCGUAAAACUCUGUUAUUAGGGAAGAACAUAUGUGUAAGUAACUGUGCACAUCUUGACGGUACCUAAUCAGAAGGCCACGGCUAACUACGUG
rnacentral:rRNA from 1 species